CACUCGUACCAAUCGAACCUCACUGCUCGAAAAAAACAAGAAAUUACAACCAAUUUUGUCAUUAACGUCAAUUGCUAAUUACACCCAUACAAAGUGUUGUAGACAUACGCGUGGUUGGCCAUAGAUUAUUAGCGGCGCUGUGAGAACAAAUACAAACAUUGAAAACUCAUAAUUAAGUAAUACUUUUGGGACUGCAGGCACAGAGAUAAACUCUAGGAAUUUGCAUCUAGAAACACAUAUGUAGAAAUCCCCAUAUUAAAAUAUAGAGAUAGACAACAACAGCAAUAAUUAUAUUAAUAAAUAAAAUAAAAUAAAGGUAAGAAAGAGAAUAGAGACCUGACUGCUGGGAAGUUGGGUGGAAUUGUGGAUAACAUCAAAGGGGGAAAGAGAGAAAAAGAUGGAAUUGGCUUCCUUUUCUCUUUCUCGAUCUGAUCUGAUCUGAUGAGGAGACCUGCUUCAGCCAAUCAUCUUCUUCCUCAGAAAUUUGCCUCCCUCAUCAGAGGGUUUUAACCAAUCGGAUUCUUCCACUAAAUACAUAACAAAACCAACCUCUCUAUCCGUUUUCUUUGGAUUCCAUUCACACCUUUAGCCAACAAUGUCUUGUGCUAUUUUUCUCCCUCUUAUCUCCUUAUCCGCUUAAUCAAAGCUGAGCAGCAGAGGCACCGAGUAAGUGGAUGGAAAACUCAGGAUUUAUUAUUGACUGAUUUUUCUUUACUUGCUUAUGGCUUGGUAGCUCUUUUACUCUUUUCCCUUGUUUUUAUUGUAAGGUGAAAAGUGUACGGACGCUUUAACGACACAUAAAUCCACACGCAAAAUUUACUCUCUGUUUUUUCUUUAAAAAAAAUAAUAAAUAUAUCUAUUAAAAAAUACUGUCUAUCAUCACUUGGACAGGUAAAAAGAUCUCCACCCUCUAUUUUAUAGUAUGAGUUACUCUUUUAGUUUGUUUCAAAAUUUCUCAUUUUAUCUUUUAUAUUAUAUACUUAGACCACUAACGCCUUAUUUGCUUGCACUUGAUACAGAUUUAAAUUUUAAAUGUUCAGAUUUCAGUUUUUAAGUAUUUUUUUUUAAGAUUUCAUUUUUAAUCAUUCUGAUAUUAAUUAUCAAAUCUGUUAGGGUUUUCAAUUUUAAUAAAUCAUAAUGAUUAAGAUUUAUAACAAAGUCUCAAUAUUAUUAAAAUAUUAUAUAUAUAUAUAUAUAUAUAUAUAUAUAUAUAUAAGAAUUUAUGCAAAAAUAAGAUUUUACUAUUACUCCUACACUUUUACCACUAGUCAUCAUCACCACCGUUAUUGUUGUCUUCCACCAUUAUAAACUAUCAUCAACCGCUAUCAAUCACCCAUUAUCACUAUCACGACCCCAAUCCCGAUCAUGAUGGCGCCCAACACAAUAGCUAGGCAAGCCCGACCAACAACACUCACAACUCUACCACACAAUCCAUUUCCAAUUAAAUAGGUUAAGUUUCUAGAUAAUUCAACUCCGAUCAGUAAGAUAAAUAGGAACAAUACUAAAAAUCAUGAUAAUACCAAUAGAACUCCCAAAGACCUGGGGUCAUGAGUCUAGAGCCUCUAAGAUAACAAAAUGAUAAAUCCUCGGUAAUACUGAAGUUCACAAAUGCGGAAAAUAAUAAAAGGAUAGGGGAGGAGUCGGGGCAUGCGAACGUCAGGCAGCUACCUCGACAGCUCCUGAGAAGCUCUGAAGCAGCAAAUAGCUCAACUAUACGCUGAGGCACCUGAAUCUGUACACAUGGUGCAGGGAGUAAAGCGUGUACUUCCAACUCAGCGAUAAUAGACAUGUAUAAUGACUGAAAGUAAGAAAUUCCGAAAUACCACAAUGUGAAGCUGAAACAUACCAUUUAGCUCAUUUAACGAUGAAACAAUUGUAAAUGAAUAGGUAGAUAUCAAUGUAUCAAUGCAAUGCAAUAUACAUGAACGUUGAGGCGUACAGCCCGAUCCAUUGGGUACCCGCGCUCAAUGUGGGGGUUAAGACUCCGGAGGGGCUCCUACAUCCCAAGCGCAGUGACAUAGUAGCAUUCGCUGCGGCGUGCAGCCCGGUCCACAAUCAGUCCAAUUAUAUAUGCAUGCAAGCCACACGGGCACAAUCAGGUUUACCAUUUUAGAUUCCACUUAACAGGUAUUAUAGUUUAAGUGAUUAAAACCUUAGAAAAUUACAAAUAAUUUCAUAGAGUAUUUAACUCAAAUACUGAUAUCACGAAAACAUGCUCAAUAUCAUGGGAAUAGUGAUAAUAAUAUCUAAGGAUUCAAAUAGUUGGCACGCAGCCCAAAUAUGCUCAUAACAAUCCAAGUAGGAUGUUUACUCGCCAAUUCCUAGUCAAUAACACAAUAUAUACAUCACUCAGACGGACUAAGCCAUAAUCUCGUCCACAAACGACCUCGCACUCAUCGUAAAGUGCGUGUCUCGCCUCAAUACAGCGUCACAAUGUGAGACACCAGGGUUUCAAACCCUCAGGUCAUCAUCUACAUCUAUUACUCACCUCAAGCCGGCCGAAGACUAGUCUGCAAUGCCUUUCCCUCUUAAAUCGACAUCCUCGCACAUCGAAUCUAGUCAAAACUACAACGAAUACAUUACUAUAUGCUAAAGAAACAUAACCCAAUCGAAAUUACUCGAAAAAUACUAAAAAUACGAAGUUGGCAAUACGCGAGUCCGGUCCCACUUCUCAAAAAAUUACGAAAGUCAUAUCACCGGAUUCCUCGUCUCAAAAUUUGCCAAAAACGAAGCUCAAAUGGGCCAUCAAAUCCCAAAUUAAGAAUUCAAAACUCGAGCCCUAGUUCUUCAAGUUUUACCCAAAUUUUCCAUGAAUUUAAGGUUGAUUCUUCAUAAAAGUGAUGUUUCUAAGACACGGGACUUACCUCCGAUCAAUUCCCGUCGAAAUCCCUCUUCAACUCUACCAAAAAGCUCUUGAGGUGGUGUAAAAAUGGCGGAAAUUAUGAAUGGGUCGCGGAUGAAAUAACCCUUAAAAGCAUUCUGCCCAGGCAUUUUUAACCUUAUGCGAUCGCAUCCCAAGUUACGCGAUCGCGGAGAACAAAAUUCCACCUCCUCGCUUUCCUCUUAUGAGAUCGCAGGACAAGCCAUGUGAUCGCAGAGCACUGGCUCCCCCUUAUACGCGAUCGCACACAAGCCCACACGACCGCACUAACUGACCACCCAGGCCUAUCUGAUCGCAUACCAUUUCACGCGAUCGCAUAGAUAAACUCUGAGACCCCCUCCUAUCCUUCUAUGCGAUCGCAGCCCCAGGCUCGCGAUUGCGGAGAGAAAAUCUGCUCUGCAAUUUCUGCUGCACUUUUCCUAUUCAAAAAUUCCGUUAGCCAUCCGAAAUCACCCCGAGGCCCUCGGGACCUCAACCAAAUGCACAGAUAUGACCUAUUACCUUAUUCAAACUUGUUUGAACCAUAAAAAUACUAUUGUUAACAUCAAAUUCAUCAAAUCAAGACUUAAGUUAAACUAAACAUUCAAAAAUUCGCAUUCGCUUCCAAACCCGACCUAAACACCUCCGAAUGACCUAAAACUUUGCACGCAUAUCCAAUAUCACCUAACGAAGCUAUUGUAACUCUCGGAAUUCCAUUUCGACCCUCAUAUCAAAAUCUCACCUAUCAAUCGGUAUUUGCCAAAAUUCAAACUUAGCCAGUUCGAGUCGAAUUCUACGCCGGACCUCCAAAUUCAAUUCCGAGUGCACUCCUAAUUCACAAAUCAUCCCCCGAAACUAACCGAAUUAUCAUAAUUUACUUCCGAGCCCUCUAACUAAAUAGUCAACUUCCAGUUGAUGUUUCCAAAACAAGCUUCCUUUUAAGAGACUAAAUGCCUCAUUUCCAACUAAAACCAAUCCAAUACUACCUCGAUUAACUUAAUUACUGAUAUUGAAACCUAGUGAAGCAUAAUAAGAGGGAACGCGGUAACUCACGUGACGAUGGGCCAGGUCGUCACAUCUUCCCCAACUUAAACAAUCGCUCGUCCUCGAGCGUACCCAGAGGUGUACUAGAAGCCUACCAAUAUCUGAAUGACCUUACCAAACAUAUACCCGGGGUGAUCCCAUGUCACCAUAACUCACAUAGGCCCCAUAAUACAACACAACUGAAAUUUCACAGUCCAUCUAGUCCAUAACCGUAGAACCACAUUGCAGUUUCGAAACCAUACACAAGAUCAGAACCUCACAUAUAUACUCAUAAUAAGCCCGAACCAGCUGUAAUAACCCAUACCUGCAACCUCAGGUGAACCCAUGCAACAAACCACAUAAUCCAACACUCGAAACGAUAGUCUUUAUUCAAAAAAGUUGCCCAAAAUACUCCAUUAUCGAUAGGAACCUCUUAUUAGCUAAGGUCUUAUUCCAACUCUUUCAUAUACUGCCAACGAUGAUGAAACACGCAAUAAAUUGUGACAAUUUCUCGGACCAAUCUUCAUGAAAUCACUCCCUUUUUGGCUACUAUUACAACAGACCGCUGAGCUGAACCUCGAUACUAACAUACUAACAAGUUGAAACUAAAUCUGUUCGUAUCCGUUUACGACACCAACGAUCCCCUCGAAUCAAAUAUACCACUCUGGUUUACUACCACAAUAGAUUUCCGAGCCGAACCUCGAUAUUAACAUACUAACAAGUUGAAACCAAAUCCGCUCGUAUCCAUUUAUGACUCCAACGAUCCCCUCGAAUCUAGGAUACCACUCUGGUGAUAAUACAUCGCAACACAAGCCUAAUCCACAACUUGCAUCAUAUGCCCACCAAUAAGAGACGGUCCGAGCACACUCAACUCAUGGCAGUUGAUUCAAACGAAAGAGUUGUACCUCAAGCUCAUCAGUACCAUCACAAUACAAGGCGGAGACCCCGUCUCACAUCAUAGGAAUAGAAUACCUGAAUCCUUAUUGAAAGGCCAUAACUUCACGUGGCUUCGUCGCAAAGCGCGAUCCUAUCCAAACACGAUUACACAUGAAUCAACUCAAGUCACCAUGCUCAAAGUAGCCAGCCACGCACAGAUUGAUGCCUGAAACAAAGCAAUCCAUCACACCCACGAUGAAGUAAGUAACAUACACCAUUCAAUCCUGAAAUGACACAACCGAUGUGCUAUUCGUCGAGCAACUCCCAAUACGAACUUUCCUCAGGGACCAGAAAUCAAGGCAUACAAAGUAACAUAUGGAAAACUAUUCUCAACAUCACACUAUUGCGGCGUGCAACCCGAUCUAGAUAACAUAUCCGUGGCAGCGUGCCACCCGAUAUACACAAAUAUCUCACAUUGGGAGAUGCAUAUCGAGCCAAAUUUGCUCAUAAAUACCGAGUAUCGGUUGUAAGCAUACUGAGUGCAUAAUGAUAUCUAUAGCGUUGUAAGUUACAAAACUCAGAUUCCACUAUGAAUCUCGAUAGCACCGCAAUAUAUGUACCCACUGUCCAAAAAUCAUAACGCCCCACAGCACAGAAAAGCAACUCAUAGAUCUUCCCAGAUCACUAGCAAGUCCAAUAACGAUCAAAUGAACCCAUUCUUUAUCAAUACCAUUCGGGACUAACCAAGUCAACUCAAGCUAAACACGUAUCUAAUCAGCUUACCAACAAACUCAUUACCAAGAAGCCUGAAGCUGCUUCUUCCACUACUAUAACUCAUGCCAGAGCCGUACGAUAUGGUGCCUGAAACCAAAUAAGUACUGAAAUCCACAAUCUCGCCCGGAUACAUGCCCGUCCACAAGGAACGCAUCUGAAAAGGUCCUUCAAUGGUAGAAGCCUCUAUACUGACAUCUGUCACAAAGGCCCAAUUAAGGAAAGCAAUUCUUCCCAACCAUCCGCUGGUCUUUAGAACACAACCAUUCAGCUAGAACAUGGUCCGAUGCACCUCGCCACGCAACCUGUGGCAUUUUCCGACAUAAUCCAUAGCACAAUAGUCUAAAAUGACCCAACACUGAGACAACCAGUCUACACACCAAUAUCAUAUCUAAAAUCUAAUAUACCAAGCAAAGAAAGAUCCACUCGGGCUUUCAAACCCCCAAUAGCAGCUAAUGGUGCCACUACACACUAUCCACAACCACUACACAGCUUGAACAUGAGAACUCCCAAUCUCCACUCCAGCUCCACAUAGCACACAAAUUACUAUACCUGAUCCCAAAUUUUGCAGUAUAAAUACAUAUUACACCUCGAGUACCCUAUCAUUCUACAGAUGAUAUUCUGAAAUUCCCCCUGUGCCACCAAACAAACUCAGAUAUCAACAGUCGGUCUAUCAAGAAAAUGUUGUGACACUACCGAAGUGCCAUCAACUUAAUCACAUACCCUCGCCAAAUCACUGUGAUUAGCAACACCAUUUCCUUAGUCAUAUGAGGAUCAUUCACCCCAAUCAUCUUAAGAUCUAUUCUUAAAUCAUAUGCAGCUGCCCAUGCUGCUUAAGAAUUUAAUGACUUUCCAUUCCGAACUGAACUGGACCUUACACACACAAAUCUCAAUCCUCCACACAUAUCGUAUCUACCAUACCACAAUCGGAUAACAUGAGAACUUUCAUCUUCCUUCCCGCGCCGCAGACAUCGACGCACUCAACUAGUCGAGAACUUUCAUUGAUCCCAUUUAGAAGAAAAUCAUAACACACUCCAAGCUUUGCAUAUCCAGAGAAAAUAUACUCAUCCGUAAACCACGGUAAAACCCAACAUGAACAUCUAUGCCAUAUCUAUUUGUACAAGCUAAGCUGUCAGGACUGCAUCCUUCUAUCUAAACCAAGCUGAGCAAGCCGUCAAAACCCAAGAGAAUUGCUGCAAAGUGCCUGAAAAAGGCUCACUACCUCAAACACAUACAAAGGAUUAAUCAUACCCUUACCAGUACCGAUUUGGAUUAUCAAGCUAUUCUGUCUAUCAAACUUCUCUUUUUAUUCAUCAUCCACUUGAUAUUUCUCCCUCACUGUAGCAUCACAAUACCUCAAUCCAGGCUCACCACAGGAGCUUCGAACAUAAGACCACACUGUAUAAGACCCAUAGACCACUGAGAAACCACGUUCUAGAGUACUUUACUUUAAAGAACUUCCUGCGAAAUCCGAAUUUGUUACCAUUACCUUCCAGAUACCGAUACAUAAAAUCCAAAUAAUCGACAUAAGAAUACUACAAGCCUCGACAUUUUUCGAUGAAAACACGGUCUCUGACCACAUACACAACCUGGAGACACUCGAUUGUUACAUGCCAAAUCUUGUACGCAAUAACACAAUUUUCGAGAGUCAUUCACUCUUAUUCAACUGUAAAUUAUCUGACUUAACGAACAGAACUACUCGUGCCUUAUUGGCACUCUAACACCGCAGGACAUGAUCUCAUUCAAUACCAAUAACCAUCUUCCUUCUCUAUACACUGAGCAUUCUUUAUCGACAACAACUCAAGACAUCCUAGUAUUUUUCUCAUAUCUACGAAGCACCAUGUAACCUUUAUCAAAAUUUUGCACCGCUCGCGCCAUCCUCAAUUCGUUUUCUGUAACCAGGACCGAUCCGCCAGCAUACUUCGGAACAGAAACAACAUAGCACAUAACCGUGUGAUUUGCUAAUCAACAACAACCUCCUCAACUUGGCUCAAAGCCAUAUAUCAGGACACACUCAACAUUUCAUAAUACCUUUACUCUAAUGAUACCACCAUGCCAUAAUGAGAUUAAAUUCAAAUCAUUUACUAGCUCAUGAAAACAUAGACCCUCGGAUACUAAAAUCCUCAACAAACCUCGCAUUCAUUCCCACAUCAGCUGAGUCCACUCUCUGAAGCGACUCAAAUUUGCAAGUUACAACAUGUACCUUCAAUUACACAUGAGAUCUUCUCACAACAUACAUAGGGAUCGCAUCACUUCAGAACACUCCGCAUGAGAUAACCAACCUGUUUCGCCUCAAUAUAACAUUUCUGUAUACCAUCCACCGUCAUACGCAUUCACAGCUACUUAGCCUUCCUGAGUCUGAACUCAUAUCGUAUGAUGCAAUUUACUUCACUCCAACUAGGAGACUUGAAAAGAUUCUUCACAUGCCCAUGCUCGGAGCUAGACUCCCACUCACCAUGGAAAUCGAUCACUUAAUGAUUCAUCUCUCACUUAGUAGACCUUCUUCAACACUUCCAAGUCAUAUAGACACAUCGUACAACACCAACAUAUUCAUCACGCCCUAUCCAGUGCCAUUCCCACCAUUACAGAUAAUACUGAACAUAUAAGUUCAUAACACUAUCUCGCAAAAUUAGCACUCCGGUGUUCAAGCCAUAGGCGAAGAUUUGGCCUCAAGCCCUCCAGACCAGCCCAAUAUCAACUCAUAGAAAUUGCAUCUCGUCCCUCAAUUGGAGAAUCGCAAGCCAUCAAAGGACAUAUCAUACCGAGUGCUCAUGCGCGCAUACAGACGUGAGGAAGAAAUUUCAAGAGUUAUAUCUCAAGCUGAAUCAAGUACGCACGAUAAGAAUUCCAAGAAAGUGAAGCUUUUUCCUAAUGGUUCUGUAGCCUCUCGAGGAUAAAUACAGACGUCUCCAUACCGAUCCGCGAUACUCUACUAACUGUCUCAUGACUCAUGAGGCCUAGUAACCUAGGCUCUGAUACCAACUUGUCAUGACCCUAAUCCCAAUCUUGAUGGCACCCAACAUAAUAGCUAGGCAAGCCCGACCAAUAAUGCUCACAACUCUACCACACAACCCAUUUCCAAUUAAAUAGGGUAAGUUUCUAGAUGAUUCAACUCCGAUCAGUAAGAUAAAUAAGAACAACACUAAAAAUCAUGAUAAUACCAAUAGAACCCCCAAAGACCUAGGGUCAUGAGUCUAGAGCCUCUAAGAUAACAAAAUGAUAAAUCCUCGAUAAUACUAAAGUUCACAAAUGCGGAAAAUAAUAAAAGGAUAGGGGAGGAGUCGGGGCCUGCGAACGUUAGGAAGCUACCUCGACAACUCCUGAUAAGAUCUGAAGCAGCAAAUAGCUCCACUAUGCUUCGAGGCACCUGAAUCUGCACACAUGGUGCAGGGAGUAAAGUGAGUACUUCCAACUCAGCAGUAAUAGACAUAUAUAAUGACUAAAAGUAAGAAAUCCUAAAAUACAACAAUGUGAAGCUGAAACUUACCACUUAGCUCAUUUAAUGAUGAAACAAUAGUAAAUCAAUGACAAAUAGAUAUCAAUGUAUCAAUACAAUGCAAUGCACAUGACCGUUGUGGCGUACAGCCCGAUCCAUUGGGUACCCGCGCUCAAUGUGGGGGUUCAGACUCCGGAAGGGGCUCGUAUAGCCCAAGCACAAUGACAUAGUAGCAUUCUCUGCGGCGUGCAUCAAGGUCCACAAUCAGUCUAAUUAUCUAUGCAUGCAAGCCACACGGGCACAAUCAGGUUUACCAUUUUUGAUUCCGUUUAACAUGUAUUAUAUUUUAAGUGAUUAAAACCUUAAAAGAUUACAAAUCAUUUCUAGACAGUAUUUAACGCAUGACUGAUAUCAUGGAAACAUGCUCAAUAUCAUGGGAACAGUGAUAAUAAUCCCUAAAGGAUCCAAAUAGUUGACACGCAUCCCAAAUAUGCUCAUAACAAUCCAAGUAGGAUGUUUACUCGCCAAUUCCUAGUCAAUAACACAGUAUAGACAUCACUCGGACGGACUAAGCCAUAGUCUCGUCCACAAACAACAACUCACUCAUCGUAGAGUGUGUGUCUCGCCUCAAUACUGCAUCACAAUGUGAGACACCAGGGUUUCAAACCCUCAGGUCAUCAUCUACAUCUAAUACUCACCUCAAGCCGGUCGAAGACUAGUCCGCAAUGCAUUUCCCUCUUGAAUCGACCUCCUCGCGCGUCGAAUCUAGUCAAAACUACAAGGAAUACAUUACUAUAUGCUAAAGAAAUAUAACCCAAUCGAAAUUACUCGAAAAACACUAAAAUUCACGAAGUUGGCAAAACCCAAGAUCCGGGCCCACUUCUCGAAAAAUUAUGAAAGUCAUAUCACUGGAUUUCUCGUCUCGCCACGCGUCCAUACAUAUAAAAUUUGCCAAAAAUGGAGCUCAAAUGGGCCAUCAAAUCCCAAAUUAAGAAUUCAAAAUUCAAGCCCUAGUUCUUGAAGUUUUACCUAAAUUUUCCAUGAAUUUAAGGUUGAUUCUUCAUAAAAAUAAUGUUUCUAAGACACGAGACUUAUCUCCAAUCAAUUCCCGUCUAAAUCCCUCUUCAACUCUACCAAAAAGCUCUUGAGGUGGUGCAAAAAUAGAAGAAAUUAUGAAUGGAUUGCAGAUGAAAUAACCCUUAAAAGCAUUCUAGCCAGGCAUUUUUUAACCUUAUGCGAUCGCGUUCCAAGUCACGCGAUCGCGGAGAACAAAAUUACAGGUCCUCGCUUUCCUCUUACGUGAUCGCAGGACAAGCCAUGCGAUCGCAGAGCACUGGCUCCCCCUUAUACGCGAUCGCACACAAGCCCACGCGACCGCACUAACGGACCACCCAGGCCUAUACGAUCGUAGACCACUUCACCGAUCGCAUAGAGCAACUCUGAGAGCCCUCUCCAAUCCUUCUAUGAGAUCGUAGCCCCAGGCUCGCGAUCGCGGAGAGAAAAUCUGCUCUGCAAUUUCCGCUGCACUUUUCCUAUUCAAAAAUCCCGUUAGCCAUUCGAAAUCACCCCGAGGCCCUCGGGACCUCAACCAAACGCACAGAUAUGACCUAUUGCCUUAUUCAAACUUGUUCGAACCAUAAAAACACUAUUGUUAACAUCAAAUUCAUCAAGUUUUCAUCAAAUCAAGGCUUAAGUUAAACUAAACUUUCAAAAAUUUGCAUUCGCUUCCAAACCCAACCUAAACACCUCCGAAUGACCUGAAACUUUGCACGCACAGAUCUAACAGAGCUAUUGCAACUCUUGGAAUUUCAUUCCGACCCUCAGAUCAAAAUCUCACCUAUCAACCGGAAUUCCAAAUUUCAAACUUAGCCAAUUCGAGCAUAAUUCUAUGUCGGACCUCCAAAUUCAAUUUCUAUUGCACUCCUAAGUGACAAGUCAUCCCGCAAAACUAACCGAAUCAUCAGAAUUCACCCUCUAACUAAAUAGUCAACUUCCAAUUUACUUUUCCAAAACAAGCUUCCCUUUAAAAGACUAAGUGUCUCAUUUCCAACUAAAACCAAUUCAAUAAACUCAAUUAUUGAUAUUCAAACCUAGUGGAGCAUAAUAUGAGUGAAACGGGACAGUAACUCAUAUGACGACGGGCAGGGUCAUCACAACCACCAUACUCAAACCACAAUCACCACUACUAUCAAGAAACUUCUAGGUCAAUUAAGGAUAAAAUGUUGGAAUCUCACGGGUAAGAAUAAAGUAAUGGAAUUUACAGAAAAAUUCAUAGACCAAAAUAGAAUAGAAGAAUUAAAAGGGGAAUAGAGAUGUCAUUUAUGUACCAUAAGCCACCAUUUAUAACCAUCACUAACAAUUACCAUUACCACAACAAUCAUCAAUCACCAUUAUAUUUCUCCUAUCACUAUUAUGAGUCAUUACUACGAUAAACCACCGCUUUUAACUACUAUUGUCAUCAAUAAUAUACUAUCCAUAAUCACCACAAUCAACACCACCACUAACCACUACUCAGUCGGUAUCCACAACCACACCACUAUUAGCCAUCAUCAUCACCGUUAGCAUACAAUUUUUAAAAAUCAUUUUAUUAAUAUGGUAUUAAAUUAAUUAAAGUUAUUUUAUUUUAUUUUUUACUAAUUAAUUUUUAAAUAAAGAAAUUUUUUAUACAUUCAGAUGUAGAGAAAAUAAACAAUCUUAAUUUUUUUACUGCAAUAUUUAAUAUUCAUAUGUAUAUUCAGAUUUGCACGUGUAUAUAUCCAUAUAUAUAUAUAUANNNNNNNNNNNNNNNNNNNNNNNNNNNNNNNNNNNNNNNNNNNNNNNNNNNNNNNNNNNNNNNNNNNNNNNNNNNNNNNNNNNNNNNNNNNNNNNNNNNNNNNNNNNNNNNNNNNNNNNNNNNNNNNNNNNNNNNNNNNNNNNNNNNNNNNNNNNNNNNNNNNNNNNNNNNNNNNNNNNNNNNNNNNNNNNNNNNNNNNNNNNNNNNNNNNNNNNNNNNNNNNNNNNNNNNNNNNNNNNNNNNNNNNNNNNNNNNNNNNNNNNNNNNNNNNNNNNNNNNNNNNNNNNNNNNNNNNNNNNNNNNNNNNNNNNNNNNNNNNNNNNNNNNNNNNNNNNNNNNNNNNNNNNNNNNNNNNNNNNNNNNNNNNNNNNNNNNNNNNNNNNNNNNNNNNNNNNNNAUAUAUAUAUAUAUAUAUAUAUAUAUAUAUAAACUUUAUAAAAACUUAUGAGGCCUAAGUUCAGUUAAUGAGUCUGAAAUAAGUUUGGAUUAUUCAUAUCUCGAACAAAGUCUUAACAUUUGUUAAAUGAUUAUUCAAAGAUUCUUAUUGAGAACCUUUCACUAUCACUCUGCUGCAUAUUAUUAUCUUUGGCCACUACCCGAUCACUACUACAAGCCACUACCACUAACCCAUUGUCGCUGUCGCAAGUCACUACAUAUUACCAACCACCUCUACCAUUGCCGUCAACCACCACCUUCAACCAUUGCCGUUAACAUCCUCCAUCAUCAUAAUUUCUACCAUCACAUAACCACCACUAGCAUUACCACUACUACCAAGUACCGACCAUUAAAGAAAUCAGUUACUAUGGAUAUUUGCCAUGGAUUGGAAGUUGUAGAUCUGAGCUCAGAGAAAAGGGAGAAGAAAUGUCGAGAUAUUUUUAGGAAGCUGAAGAAAUGUUCUAUUGCUUUCUUAACCAGCUGUAUGUUGAAACACGUUCUCAAGGCACUAAACUAUACUUGUGUUCAUAUUUGUAGGUUUUGAUAAAUGACAAACGCGCAAUUGACAUAUGACGAGGUCCAAGCACAAGCACGCAAAUGUCACGUAACGAAGUUCAAG
rnacentral:lncRNA from 1 species